rnacentral:rRNA from 1 species
CCUAGGGGAGGCAGCAGUAGGGAAUAUUGGUCAAUGGGUGCGAGUCUGAACCAGCCAUGCCGCGUGAGUGAAGAAGGCCUUCGGGUUGUAAAGCUCUUUUGUCAGGGAAGAAACAGCAGCUCUAACACAGUCUGCGAAUGACGGUACCUGAAGAAUAAGCACCGGCUAACUACGUGCCAGCAGCCGCGGUAAU